GCAUCUUCAGCAGCUGGAAAGAACUUCGGUCAGGGAUGAGCUCGCGGCCUAUCAGCUAGUUGGUGAGGUAAUGGCUCACCAAGGCGUCGACGGGUAGCCGGCCUGAGAGGGUGACCGGCCACACUGGGACUGAGACACGGCCCAGACUCCUACGGGAGGCAGCAGUGGGGAAUAUUGCACAAUGGGCGCAAGCCUGAUGCAGCAACGCCGCGUGAGGGACGACGGCCUUCGGGUUGUAAACCUCUUUUAGCAGGGAAGAAGCGAAAGUGACGGUACCUGCAGAAAAAGCACCGGCUAACUACGUGCCAGCAGCCGCGGUAAUACGUAGGGUGCAAGCGUUAUCCGGAAUUAUUGGGCGUAAAGAGCUCGUAGGCGGUUUGUCGCGUCUGCUGUGAAAACCCGAGGCUCAACCUCGGGCCUGCAGUGGGUACGGGCAGACUAGAGUGCGGUAGGGGAGAUUGGAAUUCCUGGUGUAGCGGUGGAAUGCGCAGAUAUCAGGAGGAACACCGAUGGCGAAGGCAGAUCUCUGGGCCGUAACUGACGCUGAGGAGCGAAAGGGUGGGGAGCAAACAGGCUUAGAUACCCUGGUAGUCCACCCCGUAAACGUUGGGAACUAGUUGUGGGGUCCAUUCCACGGAUUCCGUGACGCAGCU
rnacentral:rRNA from 1 species